rnacentral:rRNA from 1 species
UAGGGAAUCUUCCGCAAUGGACGCAAGUCUGACGGAGCAACGCCGCGUGAGUGAAGAAGGAUUUCGGUUCGUAAAACUCUGUUGUUAGAGAAGAACAGCGCAUAGAGUAACUGUUAUGCGUGUGACGGUAUCUAACCAGAAAGCCACGGCUAACUACGUGCCAGCAGCCGCGGUAAUACGUAGGUGGCAAGCGUUGUCCGGAUUUAUUGGGCGUAAAGCGAGCGCAGGCGGUCAAUUAAGUCUGAUGUGAAAGCCCCCGGCUCAACCGGGGAGGGUCAUUGGAAACUGGUUGACUUGAGUGCAGAAGAGGAGAGUGGAAUUCCAUGUGUAACGGUGAAAUGCGUAGGUAUAUGGAGGAACACCAGUGGCGAAGGCGACUCUCUGGUCUGUAACUGACGCUGAGGUUCGAAAGCGUGGGGAGCGAACAGG